UCUUCAUUUCCCGUGCUCUCUCA
rnacentral:miRNA from 1 species